rnacentral:sRNA from 1 species
AGCGAGCCCAGCCCCGGUCCCAGCCCCGGUCCCAGCCCCGGCCGUCCCGGCGUCGCUUCGGAGCGCGGCGGCAGCUGACUGCGCCUUCACGAUCCGCUGGGACCCGCGAGCCCCGCCGCCGUUAUGAACAUCCGCAAUGCGAGGCCAGAGGACCUAAUGAACAUGCAGCACUGCAACCUCCUCUGCCUGCCCGAGAACUACCAGAUGAAAUACUACUUCUAUCAUGGCCUUUCCUGGCCCCAGCUCUCUUACAUUGCUGAGGACGAGAAUGGGAAGAUUGUGGGGUAUGUCCUGGCCAAAAUGGAAGAGGACCCAGACGAUGUGCCCCAUGGACAUAUCACCUCAUUGGCUGUGAAGCGUUCCCACCGGCGCCUCGGUCUGGCUCAGAAACUGAUGGACCAGGCCUCUCGAGCCAUGAUAGAGAACUUCAAUGCCAAAUACGUCUCCCUGCAUGUCAGGAAGAGGUGGAAGCCGGGCUGAGGGAAGGGGGAUUGAGGGGGAGAGAUACUGCCUUGACGGGGGUCCUGGGGUACCUCGGCUUUUGGUGAAGAUCCAGGAAGUGGGACUGGGGGGAAGGAGGGACCAGGAGGAGGGGCGUGCAGCUCAGCAGUGCCUUGUUCCCCUGCAGUAACCGGGCCGCCCUGCACCUCUAUUCCAACACCCUCAACUUUCAGAUCAGUGAAGUGGAGCCCAAAUACUAUGCAGAUGGGGAGGACGCCUAUGCCAUGAAGCGGGACCUCACUCAGAUGGCCGAUGAGCUGAGGCGGCACCUGGAGCUGAAGGAGAAGGGCAGGCACGUGGUGCUGGGUGCCAUCGAGAACAAGGUGGAGAGCAAAGGCAAUUCACCUCCGAGCUCAGGAGAGGCCUGUCGCGAGGAGAAGGGCCUGGCUGCCGAGGAUAGUGGUGGGGACAGCAAGGACCUCAGCGAGGUCAGCGAGACCACAGAGAGCACAGAUGUCAAGGACAGCUCAGAGGCCUCCGACUCAGCCUCCUAGAGCCUGCCCCAUCCCCUCCUCACCCCACAAGCUUUCACAAUAAAUUCGCUCCGUGGCACUG